rnacentral:rRNA from 1 species
UACGAAGGUGGCAAGCGUUGUUCGGAUUUACUGGGCGUAAAGGGAGCGUAGGUGGUUAGGUAAGCCCUCCGGGAAAUCUUCAGGCUUAACCUGAAAAGGUCGGGGGGGACUGCCUAGCUAGAGGGCGGGAGAGGAGCGCGGAAUUCCCGGUGUAGCGGUGAAAUGCGUAGAGAUCGGGAGGAAGGCCGGUGGCGAAGGCGGCGCUCUGGAACGUUUCUGGACACUGAGGCUCGAAAGCGUGGGGAGCAAACAGG